rnacentral:rRNA from 1 species
CCUUGUGAUCCCUGCCAGUAGUAAAUAUGCUUGUCUUCAAAGAUUAAAGGCCAUGCAUGUGCAAGUAUGAAACUAAUUCGAACUGUGAAAUGACGAAUGGCUCACAAAUCAGUUAUAGUUUGUUGAUGGUACGUUGCUACACGGAGUAACCGUAGUAAUUCUAGAGCUAAUACGUGCAAACAAACCCCGACUUCCGGGAGGGUGCGCAUUUAUAGAUUUAAAAGGCUAAAGCGGGCUCUGCUCGCUGAUCCGAUUGUUCUGAUAACUUAACUUGACGGAAUCGCACGGCCCGCGUGCGGCGACGCAACAUUCAAAUUUUUGCCCUAUCAACUGUCGAUGGUAGGAUAGGGGGGCCUACCAUGUGGGUGCGGGUGACAGAGAAUUAGGGUUCAAUUCCGGAGAGAGAGGGAGCCUGGAGCAACGGGUACCACAUCCAAGGAAGGCAGCUAGGCGCGCAAAUACCCAAAAAUUACUGACACGGGGAGGUAGUGACAAUAAAUAACAACACGGCGCGUUAGUGUUGGUAAUUGGAAUGAGGUCGACAAUCCUAAUCCCUAAGAGGACCAUUAGAGGGCAAGUUUGGUGUGCCAGCAGCCGUGGUAAUUCCGUCCAAUAGCGUAGUAUAUUUAAGUUUGUUGCGUUAAAAGCUCCUAGUGGACCUUGGCCGAGGUCGGCUGGUCCGCCUCACGGCGAGAACCGACCUACUCGACCCUUCUGCCGGCGAUGAGCUUGGCCUUAAUUGGUCAGGUCGUGCCUCCGACGCUGUUACUUUGAAGGAAAUUAGAUUGCUCAAAGCAAGCCAUCGCUAUGGAUACAGUAGAAUGGGAUAACCUCAUAGGAUUCCGGUCCUAUUGUGUUGGCCUUCAGGAUCGGAGUAAUGAUUAAUAGGGACAGUCGGGGCAUUCGUAUUUCAUAGUCAGAGGUGAAAUUCUGCUAUUUAUGAAAGACGAACAACUGCGAAAGCAUUGCCAAGGAUGUUUUCAUUAAUCACAGAACAAAAAGGGGGGGCUCGAAGACGAUCAGAUACCGUCCUAGUCUUCAACCAUAAACCAAUGCCGACCAGGGAUCGGCGGAUGUUGCUUAUAGGACUCCGUCAGCACCUUAUGAGAAAUCAAAGCUUUGGGGUUCCAGGGGGAAAGUAGGUCGCAAGGCUGAAACUUAAGGGAACUGAUGAAAGGGCACCACCAGGGUGUGGAGCCUGCGGACAAAUUUGGACUCAACCCGGGGAAACGGGAAAUUACAAGGUCCAGACAAGCAAGGAUGACAAACGAGAGCUCUUUCUUGAUUCUAUGGGUGUCUUCGAGGCUUAGUGCCAUCUCAAUGUCCAAAGACAGAACCAUCUAUCCUUGGUUAUGACAAUGACAACGUUGAUUGAAACGUCUUCUUAAUCUUAAUUAAAAAGAACGGUUGGUGUCAAGAAAGAUGCGACACUGAUGUUGUAAGUACAAAUCAUUUCUAAAACCAUUCAUCUAUACCAAUCAAUAACUGGGCGUUGACACGAAUUUUGUCUUCCCUAAGUCCAUGGGGGAAAAUAGGUCUUUCACAGAUCUGAAGAGGAAAUUCAUGCAAUUAUGAAGGAUAUGGCUGAUCAUGUAUGUUGUGAAAUA